CGCUCUUCGCUAAAGGUUCUAGUGUAUGAGGAGUCCUGCCUGCCCGGUGACUUUUAUGGUUAAACGGCCGCGGUAUUUUGACCGUGCAAAGGUAGCAUAAUCAUUUGCCUCUUAAAUAGAGGCUGGUAUGAAUGGCAAGACGGGGGUUUGACUGUCUCUCUUUUAGGUAGUUUGAAUUUAAUUUCUUUGUGAAGAAGCAAAGAUAAGAUCGUAGGACGAGAAGACCCUGUCGAGCUUGAGUAGAAAAGAAUAAGUAUUGGAAGUAUUCUUUUACUAAUUUAUUCUCGAAGAGAUAGAAAGAAUUUAUGAAAGAUGUAAGUGUACUGUAUUAUUUCUUAUUUUGAUUGGGGCAAUCACGGAGUAUAUUUAACCUCCGUUGUAAAUUUUAAUACUUUAAAGUGACUUCUUUUGUAGUAUAAAAAUGUGUAUUUAUGAUCCACUAAGGAGUGAAUAAAGGAAUAAGUUACCGCAGGGAUAACAGCGUAAUUUUUUUGGAGAGUUCAUAUUGAUAAGAAAGUUUGCGACCUCGAUGUUGGAUCGGGAUUUCCAGGAGAUGCAGCAGUUUCCAAGGGUUGGUCUGUUCGACCAUUAAAAUCCU
rnacentral:rRNA from 1 species